GAGGGAGGGCGGCGUUUGGGAGCUUGGGAAUGGUUAAGAUCCAAGCCGUGGAGAGUUUUACACUGUGAAAAGGGGGCUGCGUGUACUGGUGGUGGCUGCAGCACUUGAUGGAUGCAGAAUUUAAGGGAGAAAGACACUAAGACGGGAAAGUCGUGUUUCCCCUCUCUACUACAGGUUUGGAACACUUUGGGUUAAUACCUACCCCUUACACAUUUGCUUGAAAAAUGAAUGUUAGUCAGAAUUAACUAUUUUAAAUGUACAUCUUGUCUUUUUGGGGAACACUGAUACCCAACAUGCAAUUAUGCCAGGGUACAACAAACCACCCUAACAGCUGGGUGAUGUUAAGGGACAUGGACUGGCUUCUCCCUGAUCUCACCCAUCCACUCCCAGAUGUUCAUCUAACUGGUGAGAGGGCAGGGAACUAAAGCAAAAGAAAGCCAUUUGUACACAAAAGUGAUUCACUUCUGGAGGAGCAGACAGGCUUUCAGGAGAUACCUACAUUUUUUGGGAUAGUCUAAUUAUACCCUUAUCUUCUGGAUUAUGGGGUUUUACAGGACAAGAGCUGGUAGCCUGUUAAACAGCAGGAAUAACAGCUUUCAGUGAAUAGGGACAUGAUGGAAGGAUAGUUAUUUCCUGAGGAAACACGGGGGUUUGUGCUUUCCCAGUGAUGGCUGUGGUGAUACAACUGCACGCUCAUUCUGUGUCCAGCCUUUCCCACUCACUACAGCAGGUUCCCACCUUGAGGAUGGGAUUGGUGGGAUUUGGAGAGCCUGCAAAAAAGCAGCACUCUGUGGAAAUCCAGCGUUUGUGAACAGGGAUCCUGCUCAAAGCUCCCCGAGCGUGCAGAGGGACAGCCCUGCCUGGUGUGCAGCACCAGACUCCUCUUUGUCCUGUGUUUGUGACAGACACCAUUGUUUGUGAAGCACAUGAGGAUUGCAGUAGCCAUGAUCCUGCAGGACCAGCCCUUGGAGCUGUGCCAUCAUCCUCACAUUCAUUCCUUCUGGAACCAUGCCAUGGUCCAAAAUGUGGGCUUUUUACUGAGCCUGAAGACUGAGAGGACUGAGAUAAGAAUUACCUUCCAAUGACAUACGUGGAUUUGGAAAAAUAGCUGAAUUUUCUGGUAGUGAUGCUUUCAAUUUCCAUCUCCUUACAGUUCUUAUUCCUUGCCUGUCAUAUUUUGGCACUGGGCUUUUUACUCUGGUGAAGCCUAACUUGUAUUUGCAGGAUAUAUAUUCUUAUCCCUCCACAUGCUCAGAGUGAUGAGCAUUUUUCUCAUUUGUGGGAGUUUCUGGUUUUGUUCCCUCCAUUUCUUUUGACUAGGUAUUUUCCAUUACUCUCUUUUUCUUAUCCCACUCUCCUUUUGGAGCUGUUUAUUUAUCUGGUUUCUGUUACCUUGCCCCUGGCUCACUCUGUGCUUGUUUAGGGGAGUUCACUACUGCAGGGUUUCUGUUCUUUGCUCUUUAUUUGCUUUAUUGCCUCAAAUUGCAGUGGAGCUGUCUCACCUUAGGAUGCUUGUCUGCAGCAGCACAGAACUCAUCCAUCCCGGGCAUGGGUUUAUUUCGAAGAAAAACCUUUAACUUCCUUUUCUUCCACUGUUCCUUUGGAGGGAAUUGCCUAAUAAUCCUUCCUCCAGCAGGAUCCUGUAAGUGCUUCAUUUCGUCUUGGCUGGGACACUGGGAACACAGGGAAACACAGAGCUUUCAGGGAAGUUUGUUGUUUUUCCAUGCUCUAGGGCUGGGUGACACUGCUGAUGGCCUUUGGCAGCACUCUGGGACGCUGCUACUCAGGAGGCAAGAGCUUAGGCAGAGGUGAGAGGCUCUGGACUGUGGAAAGGCUGCAUUUCUGCUGCCCAGGUGAAAUCUAAACACUUCUGGAGUGCUUUGAGCAGAGGGACAGCACACCUGUGCCUGCUUUCAGGAGUCACAGGGGACACUUACUGACCCCUCCAUCUGCAGCAUGGUCCUGACUGUGACAAGAGAAGGAGCUUCUGGAGCUGUUGCUGCGGUCUCAGACCUGUAAGUACUGCUUGCUGCCUGUCCAGAGGGGAGAAUGCACAAGAACUGGAGUCUAAUGACAUUUUAUUAAUUCUUUUUCAUGGCUGAGACCUCUAAUGAGCUACAUGAAGAGCCCUAGACGGAAGCUUUAGUUACACUUUCCCUUUAAUCUGGACCAUGCGGCAGCGCUGCUGAGUCACCCCUCCUCCCUCCACCCUCAUUUACCUACUCCUGUCCCUCCCUAAUGCUGGAACAAGCAUUUUUCUAGCUCUGUAGAAAACUGAUGUGCAUUAAAAACGACAAGAUUUCUUUAGUUUGUUUACUGCACCAGCACUGGCUCUUGUGCCAGCAGAAGCAGAGUGUAUUUGAUGGCACUGCUGUUUAUUUGUGCUGGUGGGGUCACAUCGUGGUUCUGCCACUCACAAAUGCAGAUUUCAGAGCUGAAUUCCAGAAAGAAAGGGUGGAAAUUCUCUAAACACAGUUUUGUGCUACUGAGGAGGCUGUUCUCCCUACUUUUGCUAGUCCCGUGUCCACAGCAUGUCAACAGCAGUUGUAAUAAUGUGAAAAUGGGAAGCUUGUAUGUGGUUAUCUGCAAACUGCAAAUUCAUUCUGGCUUUCUGCACUCUGCAGCACGCAGGCAGGCCCACAGCAUCUGCAUGAACAGGGACAGAAGAAUUUGUGCUAUAAAAUAGAUAUAAAAAAAUUACCAGUGGUUCAACCUUUAUCUUUCAAAAUACCUUGACCAGAGGGCUGAAAAAUGUGCUCACGAGUGAUAGAGUGAUGCCAGGAUGCUUUUGGGCACCUCCCUGCCACCCCAUCUCCCAGAGGAGGCUGCAGUGCCUGUGCUGGAGCAGAACCUUGCUUUCACAGAGCUGCAUUCAUGUGGUUUGUGUGGCAUUUGCAGGCAGCACUGCCCACUUAAUCGGUUUCCUACCACAGAUUCUCCCCUCCACACACCCUGUGAAGAAUGAGAGCCACUAUUUUUAGUUUGAAUCGCUCCAUCUCCCACACGAGGAUAAUCAGAGCUGGGCUGGUGUCAGCUCUGAUGGCAGCAACCUGCACCAGGUUGUUGUUCUUAGGACAAAGCAGCUGCUCCAGUUCAAUACCACCUGGAAUUGCAGGGAACAGAGUCAAUAUUUACCCAGUCAGAAAAGGUGCUGGCAAUGUUUUUCACAAGGUAAGAAAGUGGAAGAAAGUCUAAGUGAACAGUUUCCAUCAUGUACUACAGGAAUAUUUUUAGUUAAAGAUGCCUGUAAAAAGGAAGUUUUCACACAUUUAGUUCAGAAUUUAAAUUCUUGCAGAAAGGAGAAAAGUUCUGAAGAAAGUUUUUCAUUGCUAUUAUUACUAUUAUAUUUACAUUUUAUAAGCAAACUGAAAACUGUUCACCUUUUACCUCCAUGUUUAUAAAUGAAAAAAUAUUGUAUCCCUUUCCUGCAUUAUUCCAGUGCAGUAUUCAGGCUAGAAACACAGUACAGAAGUUCUAACUACAGUAUUCCAUCAGCAUAAGCCACCUUUAAAUUCAGAGGAAAAUAAGAAUACUCCUGGGUUUGCACUAACCCCAAUGCAUGUACAUUCAUACAUGCGAAAGAACUUGGCACGAACUGCUAAAACCAAACUGAUGUUGUAGGGUUUAAUUUCUUCCAUCUACAAGAAUCUACAAUUAUAAAAGUCUCAUCUUCAAACUUUACAGUACAUUUACAUCAGCAAAUACCCCACAGCUUUCCUCACUCCUCCGCUUCUGUACAAAUCAUAUACAAUAAAAAGUUUCGGGUUUUUGUUGUACAAACAUCAUUUUACACUUUAAUACAGGUGAAAAUAUUGUCCUCUGGCACCUCAUUUCCUCCGUGGUGCCUGUGUAUGACAGGACAGAGCACUUUCAAUCCACGCUUCCAAAAUCUUCAGCUCAAGUAACAGACUGGUGAACAGGGCACAGCUUCUGCAACUCCAAAGUUUUAAAUAAUGAGAAAAAUCUCCCACUUGUUUGUAUAACAAUCAACAGUUUAUUAAUGGAUAUGGUGAAAUUUUAGCUAUCCACCAAAGAUGUGUAAAAAAUUGUCAUGAAAGUAAAAAUAAAUAAAGCUGUUUUUAAAUCAGUCUUGUUUUACAUUUCAGUUCAGAAUGCAACAUUGAACACAAAACUGUCAUUGAAGUUUUAAAGAAGUCUACCGAUACCCAAAUUACAGCUUUUAUGACAAAUCUAAUGAGAACUGAAACUGAUUUGGUUUUAGGUUUAAAGACUUUCACAUUCAAAUACAGUGUCUCGUUUAGCACAACACUUCCUUUGACAGUGAUGGGCAACAGUGAUGACAUAUUGCUGUAUUUUGACAUAAGGCACUAUGAUAUGAAUAUGCCAUACACUUGCCUUAUGCCACAUAUAUCCA